CUCUGUGGUAAUUAUGGCAUGCUUUAAGCUCCAUAAUUACUGCAUCACCAAGGGAGUGCAGGUACCACCGGGAGAUGUACUGGAAGAGGCAGAGGCGGAGACCAACACCCCACCCGCUCCCAGGCAGUGAGUAGAUGGCAACACCGCUAGGCAGAACCUUGUCAACGAAAGAUUUUCAUGAAAUGGCCAGCCUGUCAGUCUCCACCUGAAGUCGCUGUUCCGAGACAGCCAGGAUUUUUCUUUGUACUUCAAGGAGGACCUUCAGUAUUCCAGUCCUUUCCUUUUCACUAGCAAGGAUGGCAGUCACGCCUGGCUGAGCUUCCCUUUCUGUAGAAAAGUUGUUUGGGGCCUUUCACUAUCAGGUUGUUCGGCUGCCUGCUCUGUUGAUGGCUGUGAUGUGGAGGGUACUAGGGCAAGCUCUGAUGUAGCAGUUGAUGGCUGCUGUACUGUUGAUGAUGGUACAAACGCACUUGAUACCACAGGGAGGCUGGUCAAUGUCAGACAGACCAACUGGUGCUGGACCCCCGCCUGUCUUGCAGCUCUCACGCCGCACAUCAAUGGCCUUCUCCUUCACCUGGGAUCUGGAAAAUGCCAUCAUUUAUACUAUAAUGCAAAUACAGCAUAAAAUUAGUUAUCAAUUUGUUUUCAAGUGUUCUAGUAAAUCGCAUUUAUAUCAAUUUUCAUGUAAUUUACACACCUUUUAUUGCUGUGAUAGCUUGCAACAUUUUUAUUAAGGUUAUACCUCAUUAUGUAAAUAUUUCUGAACAUUAAUGAAAACUUUAUUUUCAAAAAGAAUUAUAAAAGAGGUGCUAAUUGUAUAUAUGGGAAUAUAUCUGGCAAUGUGUUACUGUGUGUAACAACAAUACUCUAUGUGUUAAAUCUCAUACUGAUUUAUUGUUAAAAUAUAUAUUUCAAUCAUUUGGGAAACAACAAAAUGAGUGUUUUGUCAUUUAUCAUUGUUGGUGAUGAUCAGGAUAAUUUGCCACCUACAGUUGAAAUCAAAAUUAUUCAACCCCCUAUUUCAAAGUCAGAAUAAUUUUGAAACUGUUAAAAUCAAUGAAAGCAUGACAUUUUAUUUAAUUUACACUUUUCCUUUGUGUUUGUUUGUUAAAAAUACUUAAACCAUACUUGUGUCACUAUAUCAUCACAGAUAAUAAGUACUGUCUCUGCAAUAAAUGUGAUUGCAUGUUUUGGCCAUGAGGGUUGAAUAUAUCUGAAUCCAACUGUACAGUAAUAGGAUAAAAAAAUUAAAAAAUUCAUAUCA